AAAAAAGGUAAGCUACUAAGAGCGAAUGGUGGAUGCCUUGACUGGUAAAGGCGAUGAAGGACGUACUAGACUGCGAUAAGCUACGGGGAGCUGUCAAGAAGCUUUGAUCCGUAGAUUUCCGAAUGGGGCAACCCAAUGUAUAGAGAUAUACAUUACCUAUAUAGGAGCGAACGAGGGGAAUUGAAACAUCUUAGUACCCUCAGGAAAAGAAAUCAAUAGAGAUUGCGUCAGUAGCGGCGAGCGAAAGCGCAAGAGGGCAAACCCAGUGCUUGCACUGGGGGUUGUAGGACUGCAAUGUGCAAGAGGUGAGUUUAGCAGAACAUUCUGGAAAGUAUAGCCAUAGAGGGUGAUAGUCCCGUAUGCGAAAAACAAACCUUAGCUAGCAGUAUCCUGAGUAGGGCGGGACACGAGAAAUCCUGUCUGAAGCUGGGUCGACCACGAUCCAACCCUAAAUACUAAUACCAGAUCGAUAGUGCACAAGUACCGUGAGGGAAAGGUGAAAAGAACUGAGGUGAUCAGAGUGAAAUAGAACCUGAAACCAUUUGCUUACAAUCAUUCAGAGCCCUAUGUAGCAAUACAGGGUGAUGGACUGCCUUUUGCAUAAUGAGCCUGCGAGUUGUGGUGUCUGGCAAGGUUAAGCAAACGCGAAGCCGUAGCGAAAGCGAGUCUGAAUAGGGCGCUUAGUCAGAUGCUGCAGACCCGAAACGAAGUGAUCUAUCCAUGAGCAAGUUGAAGCUAGUGUAAGAACUAGUGGAGGACUGAACCCAUAGGCGUUGAAAAGCCCCGGGAUGACUUGUGGAUAGGGGUGAAAGGCCAAUCAAACUUCGUGAUAGCUGGUUCUCUCCGAAAUAUAUUUAGGUAUAGCGUUGUGUCGUAAUAUAAGGGGGUAGAGCACUGAAUGGGCUAGGGCAUACACCAAUGUACCAAACCCUAUCAAACUCCGAAUACCUUAUAUGUAAUCACAGCAGUCAGGCGGCGAGUGAUAAAAUCCGUCGUCAAGAGGGAAACAACCCAGACUACCAGCUAAGGUCCCUAAAUCUUACUUAAGUGGAAAACGAUGUGAAGUUACUUAAACAACCAGGAGGUUGGCUUAGAAGCAGCCAUCCUUUAAAGAAAGCGUAAUAGCUCACUGGUCUAGUGAUUUUGCGCGGAAAAUAUAACGGGGCUAAAGUAAGUACCGAAGCUGUAGACUUGCGCACAACUUAGAUUAUUUAAGUUUAGAAUAUGAGAAACUAAGUUAUAUGUUUAGUUAUAUUUUUACUGAUUUUUAUAGAGUAAAGAUAGAAAUAAAACUUAGUAAAAUCAGUAAAAAUAUUCUUAGACUAAAGUUAAGUAGUUUAAGUUGUGUGCAAGUGGUAGGAGAGCGUUCUAUUUGCGUCGAAGGUAUACCGGUAAGGAGUGCUGGAGCGAAUAGAAGUGAGCAUGCAGGCAUGAGUAGCGAUAAUUAAUGUGAGAAUCAUUAACGCCGUAAACCCAAGGUUUCCUACGCGAUGCUCGUCAUCGUAGGGUUAGUCGGGUCCUAAGUCGAGUCCGAAAGGGGUAGACGAUGGCAAAUUGGUUAAUAUUCCAAUACCAACAUUAGUGUGCGAUGGAAGGACGCUUAGGGCUAAGGGGGCUAGCGGAUGGAAGUGCUAGUCUAAGGUCGUAGGAGGUUAUACAGGCAAAUCCGUAUAACAAUACUCCGAGAACUGAAAGGCUUUUUGAAGUCUUCGGAUGGAUAGAAGAACCCCUGAUGCCGUCGAGCCAAGAAAAGUUUCUAAGUUUAGCUAAUGUUGCCCGUACCGUAAACCGACACAGGUGGGUGGGAUGAGUAUUCUAAGGCGCGUGGAAGAACUCUCUUUAAGGAACUCUGCAAAAUAGCACCGUAUCUUCGGUAUAAGGUGUGGUUCGCUUCGUAUUAGGAUUUACUCCGAAAGCGAAGAAACUUACAACAAAGAGUCCCUCCCGACUGUUUACCAAAAACACAGCACUCUGCUAACUCGUAAGAGGAUGUAUAGGGUGUGACGCCUGCCCGGUGCUCGAAGGUUAAUUGAUGGGGUUAGCAUUAGCGAAGCUCUUGAUCGAAGCCCGAGUAAACGGCGGCCGUAACUAUAACGGUCCUAAGGUAGCGAAAUUCCUUGUCGGUUAAAUACCGACCUGCAUGAAUGGCGUAACGAGAUGGGAGCUGUCUCAAAGAGGGAUCCAGUGAAAUUGUAGUGGAGGUGAAAAUUCCUCCUACCCGCGGCAAGACGGAAAGACCCCGUGGACCUUUACUACAGCUUGACACUGCUAUUUGGAUAAGAAUGUGCAGGAUAGGU
rnacentral:rRNA from 2 species